ACAUCUGAGGCUUAGCCCAGCCAAGAGUCCAGCCACUGCCCAGCUGCCUGUGGACACACGGGCCCUGUGCUGUCUCAGCUGAGAGGUCCCCAUCUACUGACUCACUCGCACCUGGGGCUUCUUGGCUGGUCAUCUGGAAAGGUACAAACUGAAGUUUUCUUUAUCCAAGGCAAUCUUUUAGAAGUCACCCUACGUUUCUUCAAAGUGUCUGGACGCAGUGUGGAGCGUGGUUUAUUUCGUCCAUGUUGCGGCAGCCUGUGUUGGAACUCGCUGAGGUUUGAAGCCUGUCAUCAACAUACAGACUGACAUGAACUUUCAAUGGGAGUCACAGAGGGCUGUACGGGCAAACAGGAGAAAUGACAGGGUACCAAAGACCGCCCUGUCAGCUGAAGGGCACCCUGGAUGCCUGUCUCUGAGCCCUCACACUCCUGUAACCUGUGAAGAGUGGGCAAGCAGAACAGGCACGUAUUAAAGCCGGUGGCUUGAAACCGGACUUGUCUGAGAUGCUGUAAACAAAUUUUUGCCCACUAUGUUUGACAGUUACAAAAUAUUUUGUAGGUGAUGGGUCAUGCAUCUUCCUGACACACUGUGAAGCAGGAAGAAACAGGAACAGUAGCUCUGUGUUACACGUGAGGAGCGAGAAGCACCAACAUGGUUGCUGUCCUGGAACUCACAAAGCAGGCUGCCUGGGCUUGCCAGGGAAGCCCCAGGAAUCUGCCUGUCUCCAUCGUCAUCUCCCCAGUACUGGAGUUACAAGUGUGAGCCAACGCAACUGGCCUUUUCCCAUUGGCUCUGGGGAUGGACUCAGAUCCUCAGGCACUUGCCUGACUGGGCUUCCCUCUUCAGCCCCUUUCUUCCACAAUUCUUAGAUCAUUAUAAGUAAAACGUUAUUAGUGAAUAUGUA
rnacentral:lncRNA from 1 species